AUCAAGUAGAAGUUGUAAUUUAGUUCACUGUUCUGUGUUUGGUGUUCCAAGUAACCUCUGACUACAGCACUAUUGGGAAGAUAGAAACGUCAAGUUCGCUCGGUUGGCAACGAAGCCAACUCAAUCUGUUAACAAUGUCAGGCCUUUCAGCUUUACGAUUCUCAGAGAUUCUGAAAAGAACAAAUUAGAUCGAAGGAUCACAGUAUGAUGGUAUAACACUAUAAUACCAAUCGACUUUCGAGAUUUAGACAGUUUAAAUUAUUACAUAACCUCCAAAUGUCCUCGAAUGCGAAAAUUUUAGGCCAACUCGCUCAACCGAAGUGUCAUAAUAUUU